GUUAAGCGACUAAGCGUACACGGUGGAUGCCCUGGCAGUCAGAGGCGAUGAAGGACGUGCUAAUCUGCGAUAAGCGUCGGUAAGGUGAUAUGAACCGUUAUAACCGGCGAUUUCCGAAUGGGGAAACCCAGUGUGUUUCGACACACUAUCAUUAACUGAAUCCAUAGGUUAAUGAGGCGAACCGGGGGAACUGAAACAUCUAAGUACCCCGAGGAAAAGAAAUCAACCGAGAUUCCCCCAGUAGCGGCGAGCGAACGGGGAGCAGCCCAGAGCCUGAAUCAGUGUGUGUGUUAGUGGAAGCGUCUGGAAAGGCGCGCGAUACAGGGUGACAGCCCCGUACACAAAAAUGCACAUGCUGUGAGCUCGAUGAGUAGGGCGGGACACGUGGUAUCCUGUCUGAAUAUGGGGGGACCAUCCUCCAAGGCUAAAUACUCCUGACUGACCGAUAGUGAACCAGUACCGUGAGGGAAAGGCGAAAAGAACCCCGGCGAGGGGAGUGAAAAAGAACCUGAAACCGUGUACGUACAAGCAGUGGGAGCACGCUUAGGCGUGUGACUGCGUACCUUUUGUAUAAUGGGUCAGCGACUUAUAUUCUGUAGCAAGGUUAACCGAAUAGGGGAGCCGAAGGGAAACCGAGUCUUAACUGGGCGUUAAGUUGCAGGGUAUAGACCCGAAACCCGGUGAUCUAGCCAUGGGCAGGUUGAAGGUUGGGUAACACUAACUGGAGGACCGAACCGACUAAUGUUGAAAAAUUAGCGGAUGACUUGUGGCUGGGGGUGAAAGGCCAAUCAAACCGGGAGAUAGCUGGUUCUCCCCGAAAGCUAUUUAGGUAGCGCCUCGUGAAUUCAUCUCCGGGGGUAGAGCACUGUUUCGGCAAGGGGGUCAUCCCGACUUACCAACCCGAUGCAAACUGCGAAUACCGGAGAAUGUUAUCACGGGAGACACACGGCGGGUGCUAACGUCCGUCGUGAAGAGGGAAACAACCCAGACCGCCAGCUAAGGUCCCAAAGUCAUGGUUAAGUGGGAAACGAUGUGGGAAGGCCCAGACAGCCAGGAUGUUGGCUUAGAAGCAGCCAUCAUUUAAAGAAAGCGUAAUAGCUCACUGGUCGAGUCGGCCUGCGCGGAAGAUGUAACGGGGCUAAACCAUGCACCGAAGCUGCGGCAGCGACGCUGAUGCGUUGUUGGGUAGGGGAGCGUUCUGUAAGCCUG
rnacentral:rRNA from 1 species